rnacentral:rRNA from 1 species
UACGGAGGGUGCGAGCGUUGUUCGGAAUCACUGGGCGUAAAGCGCGUGUAGGCGGCCCACUAAGUCUGAUGUGAAAGCCCGGGGCUCACCCCCGGAAGUGCAUUGGAAACUGGUGGACUCGAGUCCCGGAGAGGAGAGUGGAAUUCCUGGUGUAGCGGUGAAAUGCGUAGAUAUCAGGAGGAACACCGGUGGCGAAGGCGGGUCUCUGGACAGUUCCUGACGCUGAGGCACGAAGGUCAGGGGAGCAAACGGG